AAAGGAACGGGGGGGGGGAUGAACAGCCCCAGUCGAUUUAAAGAAACUUUAAAGAAUGCUUUUCUCUUUGCUUCAGCUUCUGAAGGAGAAAGCGACUUCUUCCAAAGAGCAGGGUGAGCACAAACAAUUAUGGCUGCUGGAAUUUUGGAAUGCACACUUGCGACAAGAUCUUAGUCAAUAAACAUCAGAGGCUCAGUGGCCCCAAAAGACUCAAGAGAAAAGACUUCUUCUUCUGACCCCUCCUUUCCCGAAAGACACAGCUGUGCAGGGAAAAGGGGGCAGCCAAGGCCUGAGUGACAAGGACUACAUUUUAGAUGGAUGGAUGGAUCUUUUGCAGAGAUCACAAGCUCAGAAGGGCACAGAUAUCUGAUAACAAGUUGUGGUUUUCCCCAUGUUUCCCUUAAUCUGUGAGGUGCAGAAUCAGGUGAAGAAGAAGGGAACUGUAGCAAUUCCUGGAGACUUUGCCUGGUGGCCCGAGACCUGGCUACUCUAACGAAUUGAAAUGGUGACGCAUCGGAUACACAUUCGUUUCAAAGCUGGCAAUCUUGGGUAUUGUGGCUGCUUUUUCAAAAUGUGCUCAAUACUUCUUUUUCAAAUGAUAUCCACGAUCUGCACAAACCAAUGAUAACUUUGCUAUAGGAUUAAGGGCAUCCCUCCCACAUUACACAAACAAACAAGCAAACAAAGGAUGGCUUUUUUUUACCCAUAAACAGGAAUUAAAAUGCAGAAAGGUUUAUGCAUUACUCAUAUGAAAAUGAACCAGUAGGCCAGAUUCAAUAAGAGAGUGGGUGAAGGAAUGGUUGGUGGAGAUCCUACAUUAUGCUGGAAGAACGAAAAUCUCCAACACCAUAUUUAGAGAAGUGGGUUGAGUAUGUUCCUGACACCCAUUUGCUUCCCUCAAUGAAUGAAACUUUUAACUCCCUUCCAGAAGAAGCUUCACAGACUGCCUGUCCCAAGGUGCUGGCAUUGGCUUACACAGGCAUAGGUCCAGACUAGCUGAUAGCCCAUAUUUCCCCUAAUGAGUCUGUCCAAGACUAGAGAUAGAUUUCUUGUUCAUCGGAGGAGUGGCCAUAGCUCAAUGGAAGAGUGUGUGGCUUUACAGCAUAUAGAAAGAACUUGUACAAGCAUCUCAAGUAUAAACAGAUCAAAAAUUAUGACUCAUGGCUCCCAUAUCAGUGGGUGAAUCCACUCCAAUGUUAAUCUGAAUUUUAAAGGAACUCUCCAGAUUGCUGAAUCCAUCAUCAAAGUAGCAGGUGAUGGGGAAGACUCUUUGCUAUCUGACAUCUUGGCCUGUUCUUGCAAUGCCCACUAAACCCACCCUGCUAAGAAGACCUUUCUAGAAUAAAUCUGAAAUCACUAUUGGAUUCCAAGCCAAUGCCUGGAGAAACUGGGCAUCAUCCUUUUUAGGAAAUGCUGAUCAUUUCUCUCUUACAUUUCUAUCACUAGAAAUUAAUUGAGGUGAUGUAUUUCCCUAAUGAUCCUGAAUUUGGGUCUGUUUUUGUUUUGGUUUACUCUGUGUAUGUGUAUGUAGUAGUAGUAGACAUAGUAGGAUGAGGGGUAGAGGGCAUGAGAAAGGAUUGCUUCUACUUUUCCAGAAAGGGUCAAAGCCAUUAUCUUCUCUGGGUGUCCAUAGAAAUGAGCCAUUUCCCUGCUGCAUCCCAUCUGACCUACAAGGACAGCUCUUGCGAUGACUUCACGUCCCUGCAUUGCAACACUGUGCCCUGGCCAACUCCUGGAGUUUGCUAAUUUGUGUGUUUUCACUGGAGGCCUGCUGAUUCAAUCAUUUUAAAGAUGCCCAUUUCUUCCACGCCAGAGAUUUUUAUGGCUCUGAGGAUUAGAAGCUUUUAUCCCAACCAA